AUGAAAACCUUUGCCGUUCCGCUGGACCGCCUGCUGCUGUCCCUGCCGCUGUCCCUGCUGUGCAUUGCGGGUUCCGGAGAAGCGCUGGACUUGAUCCAGUCUCCCGUCACCUUAACGGCGAUGGAGGGAGAGCAGGUUCGCAUCCAGUGCUGCUGGCAGGACGAUUGCUCUUUCGAGCGAGUAAGAGUGAAGUGGACAAAGAGCAACAUCUCACUCGGCGACAAUGUUUUGGGCUUUGACAACCAAAGUACCGCACAGAACGCCGGGAAAUGUUACCGUACCGACGCUUCUGGAAACUGCUCUAAAAUCACCCUUUCAAACGUGACCACAAAUGACAGCGGUUUAUACGUGUGUGAGGUGACCGUGGAGAUACCGUCACUACAUAACGGACGUGGGGGGGGAACACGUGUGGAGAUUCGAGUAAAACACGACACGACCGAUGCACGAGGGUCGUCGCCGACCGGUCUCGGUGUCGCGGUUCCGCUUGCUGUAGCUCUUGCGGUGCUCUCUUCUGCUGCCGUAUUCUGCCAGUGGAGAAGAAGGAGACUAAGGGCCCUUCAUCAAGGUGGAGCGAGUGGCCGAGUGGGUCUCGUCAUACAGGAAUCUCCACGCGGCGCGGUCGAGCUGGACGAGAUGAACACGAUGGCCGAGAUGGCUGAAGCCGGAGAUCGAAACUCCAACUCCUCCCGAGGGUCAGCACAGUGGUGUCCGGUCCAGCUGUACGAGUCCAUCGAUUACUUUGACGUGAAGACUGACGGCAGCAGCUAGAGGCGUCUUCGUCCCACACCCGACGGUCCUUCAUCCCUCCUUCGCUUUACCCUCGGCACUGCUUCUGAGCUCUGCUUCGUGUGAGCAUUUUACAUUCGAAACGUUGGAAAGCGGUUCACCUGAGACACGGGGAAGUACGAUGACAUGUGCCGCAGCGGCUCCGAAAUGAAACCCCUCACCGUACGCGUGCGGGUUCAAGUCCCACGAAGGGUUCCGUUCUCAUGCUGACCUCCAUGGGUCUACUCUGUCUUGAGGUCCCUGUACCCUGGUGAACGGCAGGCGCUGUGGAAGCUGACGAUUUUUCCUUUUGCAGGGCAGUUUGUCCACAGAAGCGUAGGAGGUGCAGCAUUCAAGGGUAAUUUAGACAUUUCGAAAAUGUAGGGUUUUAAAAGCUUCCCCAAAAACAGGAAGUACAGUGUUGCUAAAUAUUUAGCUUUUCUUUUCCUUUCUUAUUCUUUUUCUUCUUUUUCUUCUUUACGAAGGAAAAGACUGGACUUGGGUCGCCCGCUUUCUUUUCACUGCUCUCAAAAUCUUAAAUAUCCUGCUUAUAACAAAGUUUAUUUGCACGUUUGGAUGCAAACAAAGAAAUAUAAUACUGGCAUGAAAAGAUCAAUACGUACCUAUAAAAUCACACUUUUAUUGAAUAAAUUAAUGAAAAAUUCCCUUAAUCUCA
rnacentral:lncRNA from 1 species